rnacentral:rRNA from 1 species
UACGGAGGAUCCAAGCGUUAUCCGGAUUCAUUGGGUUUAAAGGGUGCGCAGGCGGAAUGAUAAGUCAGUGGUGAAAUCUUACGGCUCAACUGUAAAACUGCCAUUGAUACUGUCGUUCUUGAGUACACUUGGAGUGGCCGGAAUGUGUCAUGUAGCGGUGAAAUGCUUAGAUAUGACACAGAACACCGAUCGCGAAGGCAGCUCACUAAGUUGUACCUGACGCUCAGGCACGAAAGCGUGGGGAUCAAAAAGGAUUAGAUACCCUGGUAGUCCACGCCGUAAACGAUGAUCACUCGAUGUUGGCGAUAUGCUGUCAGCGUCUAAGCGAAAGCAUUAAGUGAUCCGCCUGGGGAGUACGAUCGCAAGAUUG